GUCUGCAGAUGCAAGCAGUGAUGAAAUCUGGGCCAAACAUUUAAUAGUAGCUCAUAAUGUAGGCCCUAAAGAUUUCUUUAAUUUCAUAUGUUCAACAUCAACUAGAGGUCAAGAGAAAGGACCAUACUUGAAGGCCCCUCUUUCAACUAUUGUACUCUCCUUGUGUGCCAUGUAUGCAAUUGCAUCCCUCCUCCUCCCCUUCUUUGCCUUCAGUCUAAUACCUCAUAGGUUCUUCUGAGGAUCUUCUGAUGACACGACAAACACUAGCGCUACCUACAGCCCUUGGCUUCCUCUCUUCCAGAAUCCUCAUUAUUAAUUCCAUUCUGAUGAAUGAGAGCAGACCCAGACACAUGCUUCAGCUCAGAUUGUAUAAAAAGAGAAAAAGGUGCUCUACUGAGGAUUUAAAAAUCCAAAAAGAAGCAUCUUACCCCAGAACCCUUCACAAGAUCACUAUCCCAGAAAACUGGUUGGUUAAUGAGUUGGACGUCAUAAGAGGUCAAGGAUCACAGCAGGCAGGCCUACUUCUAUCCCUGCUCAACCCCACUUUAUCUCGGCCUCGGAGGAGACUUGGAUCCCGAGGCAGAGGAUGGUGUGCACGGAGGGUAGAGUGGAGACAGGCGUCUCUUGAGUUGGAUGUGACCUGAUGCGACGGACGUGCACUUGCGUCUGCCUUAAUGGAAGAUACUUUUUCCACAUCCAGAGCGGUCAAUGUUAACCUUAUUGUUUUGUUUUUCGUCGUUUGUCAGUGGGUUUUGAGAUUAUUUUUUGUAAUGCACUAUAAAACAAAUUAUAGAUCAUUAUCGUCUGUCUAUUGUAAUUUGUCUUGGUUUAUUAGACAUUUUUAUUUGUGUCUUAGCAGUAAAUAUGAUUAAAUAACUUGAAAAUGA